rnacentral:rRNA from 1 species
UACGUAGGGUGCGAGCGUUGUCCGGAAUUAUUGGGCGGAAAGGGCUCGUAGGCGGUUUGUCGCGUCGGGAGCGAAAACCAUGGGCUUAACUCAUGGCUUGCUUCCGAUACGGGCAGACUAGAGGCAUGCAGGGGAGAACGGAAUUCCUGGUGUAGCGGUGAAAUGCGCAGAUAUCAGGAGGAACACCGGUGGCGAAGGCGGUUCUCUGGGCAUGUCCUGACGCUGAGGAGCGAAAGUGUGGGGAGCGAAUAGG